rnacentral:rRNA from 1 species
CCUACGGGGGGCAGCAGUGGGGAAUAUUGGACAAUGGGGGGAACCCUGAUCCAGCCAUGCCGCGUGUGUGAAGAAGGCCCUCGGGUUGUAAAGCACUUUCAGUGAGGAAGAACGCCUGGUGGUUAAUACCCAUCAGGAAAGACAUCACUCACAGAAGAAGCACCGGCUAACUCCGUGCCAGCAGCCGCGGUAAUACGGAGGGUGCGAGCGUUAAUCGGAAUUACUGGGCGUAAAGCGCGCGUAGGUGGCUUGAUAAGCCGGUUGUGAAAGCCCCGGGCUCAACCUGGGAACGGCAUCCGGAGCUGUCAAGCUAGAGUGCAGGAGAGGAAGGUAGAAUUCCCGGUGUAGCGGUGAAAUGCGUAGAGAUCGGGAGGAAUACCAGUGGCGAAGGCGGCCUUCUGGACUGACACUGACACUGAGGUGCGAAAGCGUGGGUAGCAAACAGGAUUAGAUACCCCAGUAGUC